rnacentral:snRNA from 1 species
AUUGGAAUCAAACGGACUUAUGAUCCUGGAAUCAAACAGACAAUAUUAAACUGAUUUUUAGAACGAGGCGAAGAGUUAGGGGCUUGCUUCGCCUUUGCCACGGGUUGGCCUGGUAUAGCAGUACUUCCAGGAUUCAGCCCAUCUCCC